GGGAAAUGGGGACAGAGGGAAGACGCUAAGUUGGGUGGAAAGUUUGCCUGGAGAACUCCCACGGCUCUGGCCUCCCCUCCCCCUCCUCACUCUCUGCUGCCCAGCCAGGAGGAGCAGGCUGGUUAGCAGAGAAAUGGCAACUCAGCCGGGAGCUGGAACUAGAAACUUUCUGUCAAUGUAACAUCGGCGGCGUGGGUGGUGACCCAAUGGUCGUUGGGCUUCAGGUCACGUGACUACUUCUUUGUAGCUCCGGAAGAGGACUGUGAAGUUGAGGUUGCGAGGAAGAAACAAGAAUUGACAGGAAAAAAAAUUAAGAUUUGGGGGAAUUACCCGCAGAGAUGGAAGGUGUGUUAAUUUGGGCGCUUCUUGGAUUCUACCCUGAGGAGGAGGCGCAUGAUCUUGAUCUGCCGCUCGCUGAGAUUCAGCAGGUUGGCCAUCUCCACGCGGCGAGGCCGGCACAGGUAGCGGUUGAAGUGGAACUCCU